UUUGUCUAGACUUGCCUAGAUCAAAAUUUUGGUUAUAAGGGGAAAGGUCUAUUGAAUCGAAUUUUAUGCAUGACAGUUAUUGAAAGGUUUUUAGCAUCGUUCAACAUAUGAAUAUGAUUCAUGUGAUGACUAAUUUAACGGAGCGCGUAAAACAGUAAAAACUCUUUGCUCUGUAGACAGUUCAACCAUUUUUAAUCGAACUGAGGGGACGAAUUUCUAAGUCGUUUGAACAUUCGAUUAUAAUUUUCAUGUACAAUUUAUGCAGGUUUAACAUGCUCGCACAAUGCAUUCCAAACUCCCGGAGGUAAUACAGUUUGGGUGUUUACAACCAAACUAAAGCCGGGGUAAUUUCUAAAGGGUCACUUUUUUGAGGCACCCUGCAGUUCGGUCCAGUAAAGACAAAACAAAACAAAACAAAACAAAACAAAACAAAACAAAACAAAACAAAACAAAACAAAACAAAACAAAACAAAGCAAAACAAA